rnacentral:piRNA from 1 species
UAUACAUAUUUGCUGUGUUUG